UACGUAGGGGGCAAGCGUUGUCCGGAAUCAUUGGGCGUAAAGCGCGCGUAGGCGGCUUUGUAAGUUAGAGGUGAAAGCCCGGAGCUUAACUCCGGAACUGCCUUUAAGACUGCAUCGCUAGAAUCGUGGAGAGGUGAGUGGAAUUCCGAGUGUAGAGGUGAAAUUCGUAGAUAUUCGGAAGAACACCAGUGGCGAAGGCGACUCACUGGACACGUAUUGACGCUGAGGUGCGAAAGCGUGGGGAGCAAACAGG
rnacentral:rRNA from 1 species